GCUGGAAUUGUAUAGUUUGGUUACUAUCUAUCCGUUUAUUCUUCUAUUAUGUCUGAUUUAAACCUAGCGAAAAAGUCGGCGAGGUCGGCGGCCGAACCCACUGAAAACUUUGUUGUAGUUCUCACCCCACUAUUUUUCACAGUGCCGGGACCGAGUGAGCCGGCCGACGAUCGCGGUAAAGGUAUCGCUCCAUAGACAGUGACCACCCGAGAUGGUUUUAUACAUGUGUAGUUCAUACUCUCUUUAUAUCAUCUCUUGUAUUUGAUGAUCAUAGAUGUAUAAAUGAUGUUUAAAUGUAAAAGCUUAUUUUGGAGAUCAUGUGAUGUAUAAAAAGAAGAAAUAAUGGAAAAGAAUGUAAAUGUAAAUGUGGAAUGCAUGUAAGUGAUUAAAAGCUAAUCAUUAUACUUGAAUGGAUGUUUAGUUUAGUACUUUCACUUUUGGCUACUUCUUGCCCUCGUGCAAACCAUGUAUGUUAUGUUUCCACUUGUGCAAUCUGUAUACUUGAUUUAUACUUGUGUUGAGCCUUGGGUGGACAGGGGAGGUGCUGUCCGUUCGGCGUCUGUUCGACGUGCCCGAACCGACCAAAUAGGCGGGCUCGGGGCGUGACAAAUAGACUUAAAAAUUUUGUUAAAUUAACAUUGAUUAUUUUAAAGUAAUAGUGAUUUUGUUAAAUUAUUGUAUUUUUUAAAAAAGGAAAGUCUUGAGCACUUUUUU
rnacentral:lncRNA from 1 species